GACGAAGGAUGCAAGCGUUAUCCGGAUUCAUUGGGUUUAAAGGGUGCGUAGGCGGACUGAUAAGUCAGUGGUGAAAUCUCUUUGCUUAACAAAGAAACUGCCAUUGAUACUGUCGGUCUAGAGUAUAGAUGACGUUGGCGGAAUAUGACAUGUAGUGGUGAAAUACUUAGAUAUGUCAUAGAACACCGAUGCGAAGGCAGCUAACGAAACUAUAACUGACGCUGAGGCACGAAAAGUGCGGGGAGUCAAACAGG
rnacentral:rRNA from 1 species